ACAUGGUCGGCUGGUGAUCUCCAGAGAAAGAACCAGGUUUCUGAAGAUAGGGAUCAGAUGGAGGAUCUGUUAGCUCUUCUUUACAACGUCGAAGGGACUCCCACGUUUGUGUGGAGUACAGGUCUGUGAUUCAUCAGUCUUACACAAUUCACAGCGCUCACCAUAGCCUGUUUUUAAACAAACGUCUGUCUGUUUGGAAGAGGUGGUGUUCACUCUGUGGUCUAGUUACCCCUUACCUGAAAAAUGCCUUCCUCUGUGGGUCUCAGUGAGUCCCAUUCCGGAGAGUCCAGGAACUGGAAGGGGAAAAUGUAAUGCAGAAAUUCGCCAUCAACCGUCACUCUGAUCCUACCCAAAACAAAGAACAUCAUUCAUGAGAGAAGGAGAAAGCAAGCCCAUAAUUGGAGGCAAGGGGGAGGGAGCAGUAUUUCAGAUCUCCGGUGGUCUUUAUGGCUUUUAAAAUUUUGUAGGAUGAAAUAUUAAAUUCACGCAUUACAGUAA